rnacentral:rRNA from 1 species
GAAGGAUCAUUACCGAGUGCGGGCCCUCGCGGCCCAACCUCCCACCCUUGUCUCUAUACACCUGUUGCUUUGGCGGGCCCACCGGGGCCACCUGGUCGCCGGGGGACGCACGUCCCCGGGCCCGCGCCCGCCGAAGCGCUCUGUGAACCCUGAUGAAGAUGGGCUGUCUGAGUACUAUGAAAAUUGUCAAAACUUUCAACAAUGGAUCUCUUGGUUCCGGCAUCGAUGAAGAACGCAGCGAAAUGCGAUAAGUAAUGUGAAUUGCAGAAUUCCGUGAAUCAUCGAAUCUUUGAACGCACAUUGCGCCCCCUGGCAUUCCGGGGGGCAUGCCUGUCCGAGCGUCAUUUCUGCCCUCAAGCACGGCUUGUGUGUUGGGUGUGGUCCCCCCGGGGACCUGCCCGAAAGGCAGCGGCGACGUCCGUCUGGUCCUCGAGCGUAUGGGGCUCUGUCACUCGCUCGGGAAGGACCUGCGGGGGUUGGUCACCACCAUGUUUUUACCACGGUUGACCUCGGAUCAGGUAGGAGUUACCCGCUGAACUUAA